rnacentral:rRNA from 1 species
UAGGGAAUCUUCGGCAAUGGGGGCAACCCUGACCGAGCAACGCCGCGUGAGUGAAGAAGGUUUUCGGAUCGUAAAGCUCUGUUGUAAGUCAAGAACGGGUGUGAGAGUGGAAAGUUCACACUGUGACGGUAGCUUACCAGAAAGGGACGGCUAACUACGUGCCAGCAGCCGCGGUAAUACGUAGGUCCCGAGCGUUGUCCGGAUUUAUUGGGCGUAAAGCGAGCGCAGGCGGUUCGAUAAGUCUGAAGUUAAAGGCUGUGGCUCAACCAUAGUUCGCUUUGGAAACUGUCAAACUUGAGUGCAGAAGGGGAGAGUGGAAUUCCAUGUGUAGCGGUGAAAUGCGUAGAUAUAUGGAGGAACACCGGUGGCGAAAGCGGCUCUCUGGUCUGUAACUGACGCUGAGGCUCGAAAGCGUGGGGAGCGAACAGGAUUAGAUACCCUGGUAGUCCACGCCGUAAACGAUGAGUGCUAGGUGUUGGAUCCUUUCCGGGAUUCAGUGCCGCAGCUAACGCAUUAAGCACUCCGCCUGGGGAGUACGACCGCAAGGUUGAAAC